ensembl:snRNA U7 U7 small nuclear RNA
AAGAAGUUAAGGUCUUUCAGAAUUUGUCUAGCAGAUUUUCUGCUUCUCAACAGAAAACCCAU